UACGUAGGGGGCAAGCGUUGUCCGGAAUCAUUGGGCGUAAAGCGCGUGUAGGCGGUUCUGGAAGUCUGCUGUGAAAGUCCAGGGCUCAACCCUGGGAUGCCGGUGGAUACUGCAGGGCUAGAGUACGGAAGAGGCGAGUGGAAUUCCCGGUGUAGCGGUGAAAUGCGCAGAUAUCAGGAAGAACACCUAUGGCGAAGGCAGCACUCUGGGACGGUACUGACGCUGAGACGCGAAAGCGUGGGGAGCGAACAGG
rnacentral:rRNA from 1 species